GCCACAUUUCUGCAAUUACUUUGCUACCUCCUUGCUUGGCGGUAUCCUUAGGUUCCUCAGGGAUCUAUCAUCCUACCAUCUAGGCAUCCUGCCUUCUGACAAUUCCACCGGCUACUUUUGUACUGGAACUGAUGUUGUAGGUACAAGUCUGUGCAGCUGUGUUGCUGCCUUGGGUACCUUUGGGCAGAACCCGUGUUUGUCAGUUGGUGGUUUAGACAAGUUGUAGGUAAAGCAGAAUGAGAGCCUCUGUCUAGAUUCUUAUCUUUUGCUCCAGCAGAGUCAGACAGAGAGAAAUGAAGUUGAAUGUCAGGCAGCCUUUGUUUAGAAAAGGAGAUUCCGGUGUUUAGAACAACUCAAGCCGCUAAGACGGAACAGGGCUUGGAGGUGGGAGAAGGGUCUUGCAAAGCUUUACAUUAUAAGCCCAACACGUGAAGUGAGGCCGAGUAAAAUCUCACUAUUUCUGAAAGACUGAAACAAACCAUCCUGGAAUGUGAAGGUGUUCAUUUUAUAAAGAGAAUGGAAUCUUCCUCCGAACACCUGAGGUCCCAGAAUGGGUUAGUAAAGAUAGAAUAGAUGGGAAACAUGAUCUUCUUUUAAAUGUUUCCAUUUGUUUUGUGUGUUCGUUGGUUUUAUAACAUCCAGGUAAGUCUCAAGGUGAAGAAGAGGUCUAUUGCUAAGACAUCAGCGUUUCUAUGAUAGGGAGUAGCUGAAAGGGAUCUAAAGGAUGGCAUAACUGACUUUUAGACAAUCCAGAGCCACUCUUGUGAGCCGGGAGGAGUUGGGAAGAGUAGGUGUGUUGAGAGCUGGCUUAGCCCGGAGUUUUCUGUAGUUGCUUGAAGCUUAGAAAAACCAGAAGAAGAAAGUCCUUAAUAGGAACUCAUGCAAACCGGCUCCUCAGAUUAGGCUGGGGCAGCCUUGUCAGAUCUGUGACCCUCCCAGCUUGCUGUGCAAGGAAAAUGAUCUGGGUUAAAGGAAUCAUUCAUUAUUUUUUAACCUGCAAAUUCCUCCUAACUCCUACCUCUGUAGCCGUUUAAACUCUGGUAAGGGGAGAAACUGAUACCUAAGCACAUGUAAGAAGAUGAAGUCACUUAUCGUGAAAUGUCUUUAAACCUUUAAUUAUUAUGAACAAAAGCUCUAGGUUCUUUGGAGCUUGGGGUGAUGUUUUAGUUUUGUGGCCGUUGGAGUUUUUUGGGCUCUUAGAUUGAGUCAUCUUUUGAAGAUCUAGAAUAACAUACCAUCUACUACAAAGAAAUGAUGGCAGUGUUGGUCCUGACACACACACAUUGGUAUUCAUAAAAGUAUCUACAAGCUGCUUUAUUUUGUUACUGCAGCAGGCCUGCAGCAAGUCUGUGCUGCCCAGGGACACUUGGAAGACAAGGUCACCAUCCUGCUUUCGUGGGGCCAUGGGCCUCUUCGGGCCAGUCCAAGGCUGAGGUACUAGACUCACAGUCAUCCUGGUUCCUUAAUGGAGACACUGCAGAAAUGCAAAGAAACAUGAGCUCUUGGCACCCAGUAGGUAUUUAGCAAACGCUUGGAGGGUAGCCGAUAGUAGGGGCAUUGCUCAUGGCAGAAUUCUGCAGUAGGUGGUGGGUAAUGCUACUUACCAGCCCAGCUGACACUGCCUCAGCUCACACUUUGUGAUCCUGGGAGACAAGCUGCUGGCAUUUACUCUUUGUUUGUAGGCUCAGCUUGGGGUAGGGGACUCUUGGCCACAGAGACUGAGUCUUGAUCCAUGGUGUCCCUCUUCUUUUGAAGGCUUUUUGUCAUCUGAGGAGAGUUAUCCUCUUGGUCUCUUGACCCAGUUUUGGCAAAGGAUCGACAGUGAGCCUCAUGCCCUGAAGGCCUCAUACAGUUUAACUGGUAUCAGGGCGCCGACUACAUGCAAGCUACUCCCUCGCUUAAGAGCUUUAAAAAUGAGAUUUUUUUUUUUUCCUUUGAAAUUUAAAAGAAAGUGGACUAAAAAUGCAUCGUGUUGCAGGCCUGACCCCGUUGACCCUGGUGGAUUAGUAAUGGUCUACGCAGCCUGCUCUGUCAGCACGUCUGGCAGGGCUUGCACAGAUGGUGCCAGUUGGAGAAAAUCACCGCUGAACGUUGCACUGCAGCCUGGCUUUGGCCGAGGAGCUUUGGGAGGAGGAGCCGAGACUGGGUUUGUUUUCAGACGUGUUUCUGCCCAGCGUGUCGGAAUCGACCUGCAAGGAUGCCAGUCUGGGUGUAGGAUGCAUUUGCUGAUUAGGACUUGAGUAAUGCUCCCUUGUCAUGGCUGAGGCCCUCCUGUGCUAUCAAGCAGCUGGGGUUUCUAACAGUCUGUGGCCUUGGGGUUGUUCUGAAAGGGAAUUUGAAACUAGAACUGACCUCAUUGCAAGGAGGCAAGCAUAAUGCAAUCCUUGUUUUCCUAGAGUCAAUCAGCCUAAGGAAAAUUCGAGUAGGCUGGAAUGGGGGGCGGGGCACAGGGAGUCUUUAAAGUUUGAGUAAUCACCUUAACGUGGGGGUAAAGAGAAUUUUAUUCUAGAGAGAAGCAUACAUGACCUCUGUCCUUGCAGCUGCCACCAGUGCCUGGGUCGUCAAGUGGUACCCUGAGAGUUUAUAAUUAACCCUCCUUGUGUUGGGAUCAGUCAUAGAAAUGCUCCUUAAAGACACUGAGGAAAAGAACUUCAUUGAGGUGUAUGUAGUCUGUCCACAAAGUUGAACUGAGCUGAAACUGUAAGUCUGCUCUUCGAAUGAGACCUUGUAUUCUUGGAAAAAUCUGCUCGGCCUUGCUUUGAUAGUCCAGUAUUAAGGAAGUGUAUCCUCCUAAAAUAUUUGCAUCUGAGCUAUGUUUCAGCAGGUCGAGGCUGAACAGGCA
rnacentral:lncRNA from 1 species